rnacentral:rRNA from 1 species
GACGAACGCUGGCGGUAUGCUUAACACAUGCAAGUCGAACGAGACAAGAUGGAAGUGCUUGCACGGAAAUCUUAGAAAGUGGCGAACGGGUGAGUAACGCGUGGGUAACCUGCCCUAUGGAAAGGAAUAGCCUCGGGAAACUGGGAGUAAUGCCUUAUAAGAUACAUUUGUCGCAUGGCAGAAGUAUUAAACGCUCCGGUGCCAUAGGAUGGACCCGCGUCCCAUUAGCUAGUUGGUGAGAUAACAGCCCACCAAGGCGACGAUGGGUAACCGGUCUGAGAGGGCGAACGGUCACACUGGAACUGAGACACGGUCCAGACUCCUACGGGAGGCAGCAGUGGGGAAUAUUGCGCAAUGGGGGCGACCCUGACGAAGCAAUACCGCGUGAGUGAAGAAGGUUUUCGGAUCGUAAAGCUCUGUUAUUGGGGAAGAAAAAAAGACGGUACCCAAGAAGAAAGUCCCGGCUAACUACGUGCCAGCCGCCGCCGUAAAAC